rnacentral:misc_RNA from 1 species
UUCCUGCAAGAAAACAAUUAAUGAGUACUGAUACAGCUCAAAAAAGAAAAAAUAAGAUCCUUUGAAAUGUUGAGCAGCACACAAGCAUUCAUAUAAAACAAAAAAUAAAUGUCAACUAGAACGACUUAAUGUAACAAUUUUAUCACUGACUGGAUUCUCUGAAAUUUGCAAAUGUCAAAAAUCAAGUAUGUAAUUUUAAUAGGAAUGCAAUGCAACAAGUUAGAGAGAGAAAGAGAGACAGAG